GAUGAACGCUGGCGGCGUGCCUAAUACAUGCAAGUCGAGCGAACGGACGAGAAGCUUGCUUCUCUGAUGUUAGCGGCGGACGGGUGAGUAACACGUGGAUAACCUACCUAUAGGACUGGGAUAACUUCGGGAAACCGGAGCUAAUACCGGAUAAUAUUUUGAACCGCAUGGUUCAAAAGUGAAAGACGGUCUUGCUGUCACUUAUAGAUGGAUCCGCGCUGCAUUAGCUAGUUGGUAAGGUAACGGCUUACCAAGGCAACGAUGCAUAGCCGACCUGAGAGGGUGAUCGGCCACACUGGAACUGAGACACGGUCCAGACUCCUACGGGGGGCAGCAGUAGGGAAUCUUCCGCAAUGGGCGAAAGCCUGACGGAGCAACGCCGCGUGAGUGAUGAAGGUCUUCGGAUCGUAAAACUCUGUUAUUAGGGAAGAACAUAUGUGUAAGUAACUGUGCACAUCUUGACGGUACCUAAUCAGAAAGCCACGGCUAACUACGUG
rnacentral:rRNA from 1 species